AGUGAACGCUGGCGGUAGGCCUAACACAUGCAAGUCGAACGGCAGCACAGUAAGAGCUUGCUCUUACGGGUGGCGAGUGGCGGACGGGUGAGGAAUACAUCGGAAUCUACUUUUUCGUGGGGGAUAACGUAGGGAAACUUACGCUAAUACCUCAUACUACCUACGGGUGAAAGCAGGGGAUCUUCGGACCUUGCGCGAUUGAAUGAGCCGAUGUCGGAUUAGCUAGUUGGCGGGGUAAAGGCCCACCAAGGCGACGAUCCGUAGCUGGUCUGAGAGGAUGAUCAGCCACACUGGAACUGAGACACGGUCCAGACUCCUACGGGAGGCAGCAGUGGGGAAUAUUGGACAAUGGGCGAAAGCCUGAUCCAGCAAUACCGCGUGGGUGAAGAAGGCCUUCGGGUUGUAAAGCCCUUUUGUUGGGAAAGAAAAGCAGCAGGUUAAUACCCCGCUGUUCUGACGGUACCCAAAGAAUAAGCACCGGCUAACUUCGUG
rnacentral:rRNA from 1 species